UAACCCCUCAAGCUCAGCUUGGUGUUGGGGCCUGCCGCACAGGCAGCCCUUAAAACCAGUGGCGGCGCCAUGUGGCUCUAAGCGUAGUAAUUUUCUCGCUAUAGAGCCCUGGUGGAUGCUUGCCAUUAACCCCCAAUUUUUAAU
rnacentral:misc_RNA from 1 species